UACGAGAGGUGCAAGCGUUAUUCGGAAUUAUUGGGCGUAAAGGGCGCGUAGGCGGGUCAUUAAGUUUGUUGUUAAAUCCUCUGGCUUAACCAGAGACAAGCAAUAAAAACUGGUAACCUAGAGCGUGAGAGAGAGAAGUGGAAUUCCCGGAGUAGCGGUGAAAUGCGCAGAUAUCAGGAGGAACACCGGUGGCGAAGGCGGGUCUCUGGCCGAUACUGACGCUGAGGAGCGAAAGCGUGGGGAGCGAACAGG
rnacentral:rRNA from 1 species